GGGAAUUGAACUCAGGACCUCUGCAAGAGUAGAAGUGUUCUUAACCUCCGAGCCAUCCUCUAGGCCUUGAAGUGAAAAACUGGGCUGUAGGAAUGAUAAUAAUCCUACGGUGCAAUAAAAUCAACUAAGCUGAAAUGAUGUUAAAGUCCGUACUUUGCUGCUCUUCCAGAAGACCCAGGUUCUAUUUCCAGCUCAUGACCACCUGUAACUCCAGUCUAUGGAAUCUGAUGCCCCUUUCUGGCCUCCAUGGGUACCAGGCACACAGGUACCUCUCUCUAUAUAUAAGGACAUAUAUAGAGAGGCAAAUCGCAAAUACACAUACUUUUUUUAUUAUUAAGGUUUACUAAUUUUAUUCAUUAUCCCACUAAGAACUACAAUUAGCUCUGAAGUCUAGAGCUUUCCUUGUCCCCAACAAAGAGACCCCAAGCUGCAACUCCAAGGGACAAACAGGCCAGCAUUUUGACGUGUUUGGGAAACCUCUGCUAAAGUUCACACCACUCACCGACCUUCCUGCCCAGUGUGCCCAUCAUGACGCCCCCCCCCCCCAUCCAGGAAAAAAAAAAGAACCUCUCCAUUUCUCAUUCUUUCUGAGCUCUUGUCAGUAAAUGACACAGGUAUAUUAGUCAGAAAAACAACCUACACCCUGGGCCAUUCCGGCAUCUCCAAACUCAACAGUCAUUCAGGAGCAUUGCCUGUUUCUAUGUUAGCAAAAAUAAUAAAAGAAAGUUUCCAAAUGUGGCCAUGGUUAUCUCUCAAAAGAAAUGCCCCAUUUAAGAAAAAUGCAGAAAAAUGUUCUGAUGUGCUAUUUAUAGAUUAAACCUCUGCUCCUUCCCCACCUUACACUUCUUUAAGUGACAAAAGAUUUGAAAUGCCCCUCUAAUGAAAAUAUUUCUCCCUGCCUGCCCAGGAUUCUUAGCUCUAGAUGUGCAUUACCAGGUUUGGUUCUGCGAAAGAAGAAGUCGUUGCAGAAAGCAGCUGCCCCCCAGACAAUGAAGUUACCCGCACUCAAGCAUUUCCAGUGGGCAGGGACAAUGCUGGCAGAAUUCUCAACCUGUUGCUAUAGUAGCAGGAAGAAUGUGAUUCGGGCAGCUCUGUGGAGAUCCAGAUCCAAAUCCCUGCAGCUCCCAGAGAGAACAUUAACCCUUCCCUGCCCCUGCGCAGGGGCAGAAAUACUUGGGAAGAACCCUGCUUACCUGAGUGCGGUCCUCUUGGCAUCUCAUCAUGCCACCCACCCAGUGCCCGCCGGGUUACACAUCCUUAUGUGGGUCCUGUGUUUUCAUGGAAAACAGGCUAGGCCUGGCCUUUGGUGUUAAGCAUGAAGGAGGAGGUGGAGGUUAAGUUAUUGCUAAAACCACAACACAUUAUGCAGUAUCGGCAAAGGCAACACCAGAGAACAGUCUAUGCGAGAUGAUCAUCGCAGUCUCCAUUAGUUAACAGUAGAUGCUGUAUGCGCUGGGCGAGGGCAAUGGUUUGAUAACUUGCCAGCUUUCAUUCGACAAACAACAACACUAGAAAUUUCCACUCCAAAGCUCUCAUGCCUCCCACAAAUUAGUUUAAACACAUCAUUUAUUUAAAUGAAGCUUUUGAUUUACAACAUUAAUAAAAUUGAAGUUAUGAUGUAACGACAAAAAAUAACUUUAUGGUGGUGGUGGGGGGGGUCACCACAACAUGAACUGUAUUAAAGGGUCCUAGCAUUAGGAAGGUUGAGAGCCAGUCACUGUCCUAGAGAAUGGUGUCACACAAUCGUUGAACCUGAGGCCAUGUCCCUCAUUUAUAGUCCCCGGCAACAGAAACGCCAGGUAGUUCUCUGAAAAUACACAAAAAAGCCGUGUCCAGGCCCUCUGAAAUAGUUCCCACACCCCAGGUCAUUUCUGGGGUCAAGGUACCAGCUUUAGAAAACACACCUUAGAGAUGGCCUAAGUCUAAUCCAGCCUUCUUUCCUUACACUGUGAGUGGAAAUCUCAUGUUGUCAGACACACCUCCUUGCUCAACUUCCUCAUUUCCCAUGGAGCCCAGACAUGGGAAAUUGGAGUUUCUCAGGAGGCUAGACGCCAUAGUAGGUAAUGCUAUCCCUUAAGCUAUCGGUGACAGGACAGCAGCAAUCAGACUGCCAAGCAAAAGAGCUGAGAGGAGAGGGGAUUGGGGGACUGUUUGCUGGGUGAGCAAAAGAAGAGCUUUGAUUCCUGUCAGAGGCCUUGUCUCAAAAACUAAGGUGGAGUGGAACAAGCCAUCCCUUGGGAGGCAGAGGCAGAUCUCUGUGAGUUCAGUGCCAGCUAGAGCUACAUAGUGAGACACUGCUCCGAGCUGACUACUACAUGAUAUCCUUUGCAUCUUAGUUGUGCUGGCCUGUGAGGUAAAUCUGACAAAACACAUGGAAGCAAAAGCACAGAAUGUCACAGGCGAAGCUUACCGGCUAGCAGCCUGAACCAAAAUCCUCGGGCCAAGGACCUCAUCUGGUAGCCAACUCGGAGAAGGGUCUAACUAUGUCGCUAUAGCUGGCAUUGGACCACUGAUCUCCUACCUCAACUGGAGGCUCAGGCUACCGUUAAAGACGGGGAGAUUGGCUCCCAGGAAAGGACACUCAUCCAAACAUCUUAACCAUAGUGUCUGAGUCGGGAUCUGGUGAAAGAGCCCAAGAACCAGGGUAGAUAGAAACUGGUCACUUUUUACCCAGACAUAACAAAAAUGACGAGGAAGGAAUGUCAUAGGACCUGGGGUAAUGAUGUCACCUCCUGCUACUCUCCUGGAGUUGGAGAAGAGACAGCUAAAGGAAUGACCUGCACACUUAUGACUGAGAAGACAAUGAGGGUGGAGAUGGAGGCAUUCCAUAGAGAUUUCAGCCAGUUCUCUGCAGCACUCCUUUCUUAUGAAAGCUCAUCUGAAAGACAGAUCCCAAUGGAGUCUGAUGUGACUUCCAUGUUACCAGGAGUAAGAAGAUUCGCUCCAAAGGCGGACCUUGGCUGCCUCUUGGCUGCCAGGGGAUUCAACAAUGGCUCCUUGAUCCUUUCCAAAGAAGGAAAUGGUAUGGUUUCUUCACAUGCCCUUUCCCCACAGAAGGUUGAGGAAAUGGGUAUUAUUGUAUGCCACAGGGAUCCGUCAGUUUGUGUGCUUGUGCGUAUGUGUGUGUGUGUGUUUUAUAUCUAUCUAUCUAUCUAUCUAUCUAUCUAUCUAUCUAUCUAUCUAUCUAUUGUGCGUAUGUGUGUGUGUGUGUUUUAUAUCUAUCUAUCUAUCUAUCUAUCUAUCUAUCUAUCUAUAUGUCUAUGUAUAUAUUUGAGUCAGUGUUUCUUUAUGUAGCCCUGGAACUUGUUAUGUAGACAAGACUGGCCUCAAACUCACAGGUAGCUGCGAUUAAAUAUGGGAUUAAAGGUAUACCUAGCCUGUAGUUGUUUGUGGCAACAACUGGUAUAUCCAGCACAGUAAGAGUCCACCUGUAGUUAAGAGAUAAAUAGUGUUUGCUUUUCCUUAGCAUGUAAUAAAAAUAAGAGAGCUUGAUAGUUCUCCUCACUAUACCAUAGAUCUAGACUCCUAUUCCCUUCUUAAUGCCAAACAUUCCUGUGACCUCAGCUCCAGGGAACACAGGGGAAAUAUUACACAGGGGAAAUAUUACUCAGGGGAAAUAUUACACAGGGGAAAUAUUACACAGGGGAAAUAUUACACAGGGGAAAUAUACACAACUCUAAUUAUCAAUCUGGAUCUGUGAUUUUUUUUUCCCAUCAAGCAUCAGGGCCAAUGUGCUUUCCCUGAAGACAACAAUAAAGUACAUUUCUAUAGCUAAAAUUAGAGUCACUAUCAGAGUUGGAAACACCAAAUGCCACUGUCUUAAGUACUGGACAAACUGGAAUUAUUGUAUUUGCAGUAAUGACAAGCCAGUGGAUUGGCAAAACCACACAGUCACAGGCUUUUAAUCUUGAUCAAGCACCAGAACUUUGUGAUCUUCAGAUUCUAAGUCCCCAACAAAUAACUGACGAAAUACCCUAACACAAGAUACAGGCCCAUACUGUUAAAACCAUCAUGGUAAUGGGGACACUCAAAUUGAGGACGCCUCACCCAUCACCAAGGUAACAGAAUCCCAUACGCUGACCAAAUCAAUUCUAUGAUGACAUCAGUUGACACAAAAUUGUGUGCAGGAACCAGGAGCAGGUAGACCAAAUGUAUCCAUUAGCUGUGAGUUACAUAACAAAUCAAUCUAAAUUCUAGUUUAAAACAAAAAGCCCUCGUUGUUGGUCAUGGGUCUGUGGGGGUGGGGGAUGGGGAAUAGGUCUGUCUGAUCUGUGCUGGGCCAAUUCAAGUGUCUGGACAGAUGGCUAGUACAAUCCCAUCAGCUGGUUGAAGGGCAUCACUGAGCCUCUGUAAGCCAUUCAUGGAAUGUCUAUUCCAAGAGAGCAAGCACAUGUGUAUGACGUCUCCCAAGAUCUGGACUAAGGAACACACUUUUACUUCUGCAUUUCUAUUGGCCAAAGCAGGUCAAAAUAGUCAUAUGCAUGAAAUAUUCUUUUUGCUGGGCAGCUGUGGUGCACACCUUCAAUCCCAGCACUCACACGGAUCUCUGUGAGUUCAAGGCCAGCCUGGUCUAAAGAGUAAGUACCAGGACAGCCAGGACUAUACAGAGAAACCCUGUCUCAGAAAAACCAACCCCUCCCCCAGACCCCCAAAAGCUUAAUCCCUCUUCCUGCCUCUGCCUGUGCUUUGCAUAUGCAUGCUCACACCUUAUGCAUGCCCACACCUUAUGCAUGCUCACACCAUAUGCAUGCUCACACCAUACGCAUGCUCACACCAUAUGCAUGCUCACACCUUAAAAGCUUUAUGAUCUCAGCCUUGCACCAAAUAAGAGCCAUCUGGCUGCACCUGAAGAUGUGCCUGACCCGAGGGUGUAGUCAGGGCAAACCUCUCUCCCCACUGUCUCUUCUUAGCUUGGGAUGUGAAUACAGACCAUAGGCUGACAGUUAGUUAUUCUACUUUAGCGGAGGGCUGCUGGCUCCACUAGUUGGCUUCUUCACACUAUCUCUGCUUCCUCCUCCUUUGCCCCACUGCCACCACUUAGGAAACAGGCAAAAGCUGCCUGGACUGCAUCUGCCAACUGCUUUUCCAGAUCUAGGUUCCGACAUGUAUGCGGCCGCAGUUAUUAUAUCGCAUCCCACAAACUAAGGCGCGGCUUCUGCUUUGUUUGGCUUUAGAAUAAUCACCAUGACCUUUUGGAGAGUGUCACUCUCCACUGCCACUGGGAUGCUUUAAAUACCUACUUGUGAGGUCUGGACAGCAUGGGGUGGGAGAAGAAGAGAAUUCCAGAAACCAGAACAACAGCACAAUAGAGGAGACAGCUCUACUAGGAAAUGCCUGAAGGCUCCUCGGAGGGAAUUCCUCAAGUGGGAAGGGGGAGCACGUAACCCAGCUGCCUUGAGCGAAUCGCCUGACUCUGACUUAUUAACGUAAGCCUAGUUUUCACCUGCCGGAUAGGGUCAAUGCUUAUCAUACCAAGCACCGAGAGUGCGACACACCAGAGGAUUAUAAGAGAUGGGGAGAUCACCAUGAAGAAGCCUUGGGAAAGCCAAAUAAUCAAGCACUGCAUCCUAUUUGUUUCAAUCCAAAAGCCUGGGUCACUAAAGCACCAACAGGAAGAGUCAACUACUCUCUUCCAAAACGCAUUCUGUCCCAGAGUUCCGGGUCUGGAAGAGAGGCAGGUUUGACAGGGAGAGUGAUGUAAUUUUACCAGAAGGUGAAGUACCCAGUGUGUGAAUGCUUAACAGAGCCAGAAAGGCUCUCAGUGCUAAGCGCCGUCUGGGUUGGCUUGGUACUCGUCCAUUUGGCUCUUUGUCAUAAUUGGACAGUCAUGGAUUUAAACUUGUAAUUUCCAGGUAAAACCACUCCGCCACAGGGUUUCUCACUUCCGCUUCUCAACCACUUGGCGUGGAAACAAGUGCCAUCCUUGGAUCAGAAGGUGAAGAGCUGGCUGACAGGCACUCAAUCACCCUCAGCUUUUAAUUAGCCGAAGGGAAGCCACGUGGAUAAGGAAGCAAACAUCUGGCAUUAUCACCCCAGGAACACCGAUAAUGACAAUGAAGGCAGGCUACCAACUCUUCAGCAGAAGGCACACAGAACUUCCUGCAGACAGGCGUGGGGGGUGGGGUAGAGCAUGAGGAGGCCAUUCAUCCAGCUCCCCUCCCCCUCUGCUCUCACGAACCAACUGUAGGCUCAAAUGCUCUCUCUCCCGGCCUCAUUUGUUUGCUCGUUUUGUUUUUGGCUGCUCAUUGCUGCUCAAAAAACCCAGGUGUAGGGUAGGGGCAGCUGCUUUGGACAGAGAAUGCCAGUGCUGCCUGCACCAAGAUGCAGUGGAGAGGCACCAGACAUCCACAAGGUUCACGCAAGGUGCUUCAGCUUAGGACAAUUUCUAUCACAGUUUCUGUUCUGCUUGCCUCUCAGCUUCGUGUCUUUCCACUCUAAUGCAAUCAUGAGAUAAUUCCUCGGGGCUGUUGAGAGCAUAGCGAGUCUCAAAUAGGCGAUGCUGGUGUGAUCGGGUUAACUUCGCCCACCGAUUUAUCUUGCCUUUCACACAGUGUUCUUUUAUUUUCUUCUUCCAGGUAUGAGUUGAGGCUGGACCAGGAACCAGAGGCAGCAGUUUUAUUCCUUCGAAUGCCAGUGCAUUCUAUGGCUUGUUUUCAGAAUCUCUGAAGCAAGGCUGGCUAACAAUGCACUACUUGAUUGCUCUGACUGACUCUCACCCACAGCAUUGAGACAGAGGAGCCCUUAGCCAGGGCUCCACACAAGAAACCUGUUUCCCAGCCUCCUCCAUUUGUCUGACGACCCUUUCCUCAGAGUCCCCAGCAUACAGUACAAAGAUCUCCGUUUUCUCCCUUAAAUAUCACAGGAGGCCCACAUCAAACGCCAGACCUCUUUCUUCCUGGAAUGCUGCCAAUUUAAUCUAAUAUGUCCAGGCUCACAUAAAUUUAAUUAAACUCACUUAUCUUUUAAGUCCCCCACCCCAAACACCACCUCUUGUCACCUCUCCACAGUAAAAGCUUUUAAAAUGGGAUUUUCUCUUUGCUUUUCAGCCAAAAUGUCAUGCAGGUUUACUUUAAAGCUACAGCAAUCAGAUGUAUACUACAACUAGUCAGUAGGGCCCAUGUAUUAAAAUGCCCACAAGCCCUUAACACCUUUUUUUCUCAAACCCUAUUUGGUUACUUGGUGAGCAAUUGGGGGGUUGAAGUGAAGGGAAGUGGGGAGGUGGGCGUGAAGUUUGGCAUGGAGGGCCUCCCCAAGGCCAAAAGGGUAAGUUAUGCCAAUCAGAAGUCAUGAGUGUCUUAAAUUUUGCUUUAAGCCAGGCUAUCAGGUUACAAGUUCUAAUGAACUGCUCCCGAGAAAGACAUUUCUUUGUCUCAGGACCACUGAGAACUAGCCAAACAGAGCACCUCUCAGAAACUCUCCCACCUCACCACAAUGGAACAGGAAAGCCAACAGGAGAGCAAACGAGGUCCGUGAAGAGACUCCGUUGCGAGUAGCUCUUACCAAGUUAUCAACACCGAAUCAACAAGAAAGUGAAUGGUUACCCUGGGGCAGAAGCCGGAAGAGCCCAGAUCGAGAGAACCAGACGUACUUCUAAAAUAAUCUGUAGGCUCAAUUUUAGAGAAAUGGUUUGCUCAGCUGUCUCCCACAGCCUAUGGACUAUAUUUUGUAUAAGAUGCACAUUAUUGAGACAGACUUCUAUAAGGGAAAAGCCGGAGCCACAUGGUAAGUGGAGUAACUUACCUGGUAGCCUAGUGGAGGGUAGAUCCUGAAAGGAAGUCUUUCUCAGACAGAAGGAGUGCAUUGUGACUUGUCUGUCAGGGUCCUUGUGGGUGUGCAGAAACAAAAACAGUCCCGGGGACUCAAAGAAGAUGAAGGGGAACUCUAGGGAGCCCAGUCUCUCUCUACACUUACCAGAUCUUCCUCUCUCUUAACCCUAAGAUGCUCUUAGUGGGGAGGUACAUCUUCCUUCCCAGAUGGGCUCACUGAAGCUCCUGCUGAGCCAGCCACUGAGUAAAAAGCACAGAUUUUGGACCCAGGUUUGCCAGAAUUUAAGACUUCUUACUGUCCCAGAACACUACCAAGCAUGUCUGCACUACAUUAAACAAAACACUUUCACGUUACCUAAGACCAAGACACCUUUUCUCAAAUGGUAUAGCUUUUCCAUAACUGAUAUUUCAUGAGAUAAAGUCUAUGGGACAAAAGUGGAAAAAACUUUCUUUCUUGUAGCUUCUCAACACUUUUAACAAGCUAAGGUAAGGUGUGGGGACUCGUGCCUGAACUCACAGCACUCUCUCAGGCAGGGGGAUGGCCAACAAUCUGAUGCUUGCCUAGUAGGGUCCUAUCUCAAUAAAGACAUAAAGUGGAUGGGUGGUAAUAUGAGCAGAGGCAGACAAAUCUCAAGGCCGGCCUUUUCUACAUAUCGAGUUCCAGACGAGGCAGGGCUACAAAGUGAGACUGUGCCUCAAAAACUCAGCAACUCAACUCAACUCAACUCAACUUUCAACUCAACUCUACUCAGCCAAAACCCAAAGACCCAUGGGAAGUGGGGACUCCACAGCUAAGAUGGAGGGCUGCUCUUGCAGAGGACCUGAGUUUACUUUCCAGAACCCUUGACACUGUAACUCCAGCUCAAGGGGACGCAACAAUCCCUUCAGCCUGCAAGGGCACACAUAUGGUAAAUAUUCACUCUGACACACACACACAGCUGAACAUUAAUCUUGAGAAUUCAUUUUUAAAAAAUGUCAAAAGCGGUCAGGUGGAGCUUUGUUUCCUAGUUUCAGCUCUCAUGGCUUCCUUUUCUUCAUGCUGGAUAACUGCAUUAAACUGUAAUUGAUGGUCAAAUUAUAAAAUGUGAAGUGUGCCAGGCAGUGGUGGCACAUGCUUUUAAUUCUGACACUUGGAGGCAUCUCUGUGAGUUCGAGGCCAGCCUGGUCUACAGGACAGCUAGGGCUAAAAAAAGAAACCUGGUCUUGAAAAUCCCCCACUCCACCCCCCAAAAAAAAAAAAAAAAUCUUUAAAAAGCUAAAACAUAUUGUGAAUCUGCAAGCAUGGAGUUUGUGUGUUUACCCUUUCUCAAAGGACUUUGGUUUUGGUUUUUGUUUGUUUCGUUUUGUUUUUGAUGAGAGGAGAUGGUUUAGACUCAGCAAACACUAAUAUGGAAGCAAAUUAUUGUAUUUUUCUCUCCGUCCUCAAAAUUUGUCUUUGAAUUUAUAAAAGAUUCCAUUAUGAAAACUUUCAAGUGAUGUAUGAGAAUAUAAAAUAAAGAGUGACUUCCCAUCCCUCCUCAAACCAGCCCCAUUCCUCAAAGGAAAGCACCACUAGCAAUUUCCUAGGUUUCUGGCCACAGUGAAUACACUUUUUAAAAUAACACACCCUGGCUAAAGUAUACCCCUGACGUGCUAGUCGGCACAUUUUUUUUUAAACUUAAUGAUAUAGAAGAAUAUUUUCCAUAUCAGCAUAUUGAACUGUUAUUAGCACACCACAGUCAAGAAAAAUCAAGGUAGGUCAGGGUUGGGGGAUGCUCAACGGACGAACACCUGUCUGGCAAGUGCACAAGCCCAGAGUUUGAUCCCCAGCAAUGGAAGGAGGAAAGGAAAAUAAGGGGAACCUGAAACCUGGGGUUACUACAUUUUUUUAAUAUAUAACUUUUUUAAUUAAAAGUACGUUAAGCUGGACAGUGGUGGCGUACACCUUUAAUCCCAGCACUUGGGAGGUAGAGGCAGGUGGAUCUUGAGUUCGAGGACAGCCAGGGCUAUACAGAGAAACCCUGUCUCGAAACAAACAAACCAACAAACAAAAAGUAUGUUAAAAGUAUGGCUAUGUUGGCUUCCCAUACCAGUCUUGGUUUAGCCUCCACUUGAAUCUUAUGUGUAGAACUGGGAGGUUGGGGGGGUGGGGGGGGAGAGCGAUGGGAUUUCUCAACCUGUGGGCCAUGACUCCUUGGGAUAAUGGACUCAUUUACAGGGGAUACCUAAGACCUUCAGAAAACACAUUUACACCAUGAUUCAUAACAGUAGCAAAAUUACAGUUAUAAAGUAGCAAUGACCAUAACCUUAUGGUUGGGGUGGGGGUUUACCACAACAUGAAGAACUGUAUUAAAGGGCUGCAGGAUUAGGAAGGUUGAGAGCCACUGCUCUAGGAUCGACCUCACUAUAAAGUACAAUGUACCAAUGGUACGACAGUAGCACAAACCAACACUCCCUGAGCGUUCACCAUCUACUCCAUGCCUUUAAAGUUCUUUUUACAUAUUGGCUUAGCCCUUUUCUCCAGAACCCUGUGAAGCAGAGACUGGGGUCAGCUGUUUUGUCAAAGAACCCCAUGGAGGUGUGUUGCUAGCAAGUGGGAAGGGCGCAGGAAAUGUUGAAAACUGCUGUAUUAACAAAGAAAGAAAACAGUUUGGACGCCCCUGAUCUUGACAUAGGUUGUUCUUCAAGUAGGAUUGUGAACCUAUUUACCAAGAUAAACACUGUUAAAACAUUCUCGUCAAGGAUCUUAGCUUGCCAGGGAGCUGGAGAGAUGGCUCAGUGGUUAAGAGCACUGCUGCUCUUCCAGAGGUCCUGAGUUCAAUUCCCAGCAACCACAUGGUGGCUCACAACCAUCUGUAAUGGGAUCUGAUGUCCUCUUCUGGUGUAUCUAAAGACAUGACAGUGGACUCAUAUACUUAAAUAAAAUCUUUAAAAAAAAAAAGAUCUUAGCUUGCCUUUCUAUAAGUUCCAGACAUUAUCAAUAAAAUCUGUUU